rnacentral:rRNA from 1 species
AGAGUUUGAUCAUGGCUCAGAUUGAACGCUGGCGGCAGGCUUAACACAUGCAAGUCGAGCGGUAACAGAAAUAGCUUGCUAUUUGCUGACGAGCGGCGGACGGGUGAGUAAUGCUUGGGAAUAUGCCUUAUGGUGGGGGACAACAGUUAGAAACGACUGCUAAUACCGCAUAAUGUCUUCGGACCAAAGGGGGGGAUCUUCGGACCCCUCGCCAUUUGAUAGCCCAAGUGAGAUUAGCUAGUUGGUAAGGUAAUGGCUUACCAAGGCGACGAUCUCUAGCUGGUUUGAGAGGAUGAUCAGCCACACUGGGACUGAGACACGGCCCAGACUCCUACGGGAGGCAGCAGUGGGGAAUAUUGCACAAUGGGGGAAACCCUGAUGCAGCCAUGCCGCGUGUGUGAAGAAGGCCUUCGGGUUGUAAAGCACUUUCAGUUGUGAGGAAAGGUGUGUAGUUAAUAGCUGCAUACUGUGACGUUAACAACAGAAGAAGCACCGGCUAACUUCGUGCCAGCAGCCGCGGUAAUACGAGGGGUGCAAGCGUUAAUCGGAAUUACUGGGCGUAAAGCGUUCGUAGGCGGUUGAACAAGCAAGAUGUGAAAGCCCAGGGCUCAACCUUGGAACUGCAUUUUGAACUGUUCGACUAGAGUACUGUAGAGGGGGGUAGAAUUUCA